AUUGAACGCUGGCGGCGUGCCUUACACAUGCAAGUCGAACGGUAACGCGGGGCAACCUGGCGACGAGUGGCGAACGGGUGAGUAAAGCAUCGGAACGUGCCCAGUAGUGGGGGAUAGCCCGGCGAAAGCCGGAUUAAUACCGCAUACGACCUAUGGGUGAAAGGGGGGGAUCGCAAGCUCUCUCGCUAUUGGAGCGGCCGAUGUCAGAUUAGGUAGUUGGUGGGGUAAAGGCGUACCAAGCCGACGAUCUGUAGCUGGUCUGAGAGGACGACCAGCCACACUGGGACUGAGACACGGCCCAGACUCCUACGGGAGGCAGCAGUGGGGAAUUUUGGACAAUGGGCGCAAGCCUGAUCCAGCCAUGCCGCGUGCGGGAAGAAGGCCUUCGGGUUGUAAACCGCUUUUGUCAGGGAAGAAAUCCUUUGGGUUAAUACCUCGGGGGGAUGACGGUACCUGAAGAAUAAGCACCGGCUAACUACGUGCCAGCCGCCGCGGUAA
rnacentral:rRNA from 1 species